rnacentral:rRNA from 1 species
AACGAACGCUGGCGGCGCGUCUUAAGCAUGCAAGUCGGACGGUAAGGAAGGAGCUUGCUUCUUCCCUAGAGUGGCGGACUGGUGAGGAACGCGUGGGUGACGCACCCUUCGGACGGGGAUAGCCGGUAGAAAUACCGGGUAAUACCGGAUAAGAGCGCCUCCUUAGAGGGAGGCGGAGAAAGCGGCUUCGGCCGCGCCGGAGGAACGGCCCGCGUGCUAUUAGCUAGUUGGUAGGGUAACGGCCUACCAAGGCGACGAUCAGUAGCCGGCCUGAGAGGGUGAACGGCCACAUUGGGACUGAGACACGGCCCAGACUCCUACGGGAGGCAGCAGUGGGGAAUAUUGCACAAUGGGCGAAAGCCUGAUGCAGCAACGCCGCGUGAGGGAAGACGGUCUUCGGAUUGUAAACCUCUGUCCUUGGUGAAGAAUUAAUGACGGUAGCCUUGGAGGAAGCCACGGCUAACUACGUG